GGAACUGCAAGUUCCCACGUCCACCCCCGCCACACCCACAGCCUGCCCUGCAUACACCACUGCUGGAGAUGUAGCCAGGACAGCUCGCCCUGUCCCCUGACCCCACGGACCUUGUUAACACUGCUGCUCCCCUCGGUGAUAUUUACCUGUCCGUGGCUGUCCUGACCAAUACUCCCAAGGAGACAGCCCGCCAGUCGCACAGCAGCCUCUGCCAGUGCAUCACUGGGCCAACAGGGCAGAGCCCCAGGGGACCACUCCCUUUAUGACAUGGAUGGACACUUUAGGAGUGACAGUUACCCUCUCCUUGGAUGAGGAGGGGCUCCAAGGAUCGACAUGUCAGUCUCACCUGGAGGGAGAGGGGCAGUGGGUGGGGGCAACGCUCAGUGGCUGGUGGACAGGCAAGGAGUGAGUGAGCCCUGCCCAACUGACUCCAUUGGCGGCCACUGGCCUUGCCUGGCAUUCACGGAACAGGCGCUUCAUAAACGUGUUGCUUCAAUGUGAAAUCACCUCAAUUUUGUAAAUGCGUCUGUAGCAUCCACAGGACUCAUCAUCUAGAAUACAAACCCUUAA
rnacentral:lncRNA from 1 species